UACUAGAUGUGUAGGUAGAAUGCACCUAUGGAAAAGUAUACAAAGCCAGAGAGAAAGCCACCGGCAAAAUUGUUGCUCUCAAGAAAACUAAACUUCAUGAAGACGAAGAAGGCGUUCCGCCUGUUACGCUCAGAGAGAUCUCGAUCCUGCGGAUGCUCUUACGUGAUCCUCAUGUGGUUAAAAGAGGUCCAUUUCACGUUUUUGUUUGAGGUGAAGAGGUCAGAUUUAUGCUUCAGUUUGACUAUAUACUGGUGCUGAAACUUUGAUCCAUUUGGCGUGGGGGCUCAGUUGCUACCUUUAUGUUCGGUAUUGCAUCUACUACUUUUCAAGGUCAAACAUGGACAGGGCUUGGAUUUGCAAUAAACGGAUUGAUGAACUAAUGUGUCGAAACUAUGAUUUUGUUUUUUCAAUCGAUUUUAUCAGAAUCCUUUUGGAGUCAUGGAGAAGAUGUCCCAUUGAAAGAUGCAUUACUGAUUUGUUGAGCUUGAACAUGCUAUAAACCCGAACUUGCUAUUCUAUCCUAAAAGAUGCCCCCAUCCAAGGUUUCGUGUUUGUGUUUGGCUGAAUUCAAGAAGUUGGAGAGACUAGACCUCACCUUCAAUAAUCUGUUGUCACACGAGAUUAAUGGAUGUUCAAGCAAAGAAGAAGGCGCUGUAUCGUGCUAAAUUGAAAGCACAAAACCAGGACAAACGUAUUGAUUCUCCUCUUGUAAGGUUAACUAUUUGAGGUGUGGCAGUGAAUCGACCUUUUCAUAGUUGUUGAUGUUGGAGGUUAAUGGUCAAACCGCAACAUCUUAUUGGCUGCACUUAUCGGCCUGUUGGAAUUUAAUGGUCAACGGAUGUCAAACAAGUCCUGCAACCAAAAGAUUAGAUCCGAUAGUUAGAAUAAUGGCGGCGGUUAGCGUUUCUUCAAGCUAUUGAUAGCGGCUGUUGUUGUUGCAAUUCGGAGAAGAAUCAACCACUAAUCCAGGUUAAAAAUAACUUUACAAUUUGCUAUAAUA